AUAUAUAAUAUUUUAUGCACACAUAAAAGAUUUUAUGUCAUUGUACGAUUUCUUAAUUGUUGAACAUUAUAUUGGUUCAAGCCUUAUAUUUAAUUACUUGUGUAUAACCUCAGUGUGGGGUCACAUGGGCUCUUUUGACCAAUCAAAUUCAGUGUGGCCCCCUUGGAUCCUUCUAGACUAACGUGGUAUCCAAUAUGGUCGAAAUUAACAAUUACGCUCUUAAGCGAUACUUCCAAGGAUUAAUUUUAAUAUGAUAUGAUGCCGUUUCAUUCCGUUUAUGUGAAGGAUUAUCUCUCGUUGUACGAAGACGUACACCAAUGGUGUUAUCCCGUGUGAUACUAGAAGUUUAAAGGGCAGUUGAACGAGUAAACAUGCUUAUCAGUGCCGUGUGCAGAAAACUUUGUGACGUAUACGCAGUCUUCCGUGAAAGGUUUACAAGAUGGCGGCGCCCACAGCGUAAUUAGCGCAUUUCGCCAGUCACUUUUUUAUGCUGGUCAGCUACACAGUUGUCGCUGCCCUGUAUCAGUCAUACUGAUUCAGUUCAGAUAAGUAUUCUAAUUUCUUGUUAACAUUUGUGCCUGUCUAAGUUCUGGCUGUUUAAAAUAUAAUUUUACUGCCUUUUUAAGAAUGAUGAUAAAUUCGGGUCAGCUCUAUAUAUCUUGUAUAUUUAUUGUCUUAUUUAAUUUUAAGUUCAGCCUGGGCUUAUACUUUAUGUAUAUUUACGACACAUUUGUAUUAUCAGUUAAGCUGGGUUUCCUACUGUCACAUUAACAGAUGCCAUCACGUUUUUAUGAAAUAAACAAUAAAACACCCUUUCAUUUUAAUCUAUAUUACCAUACCUCAUUUAUAUGGUCAACGUGUGUAUUUUAGAAUUCUUGUGAUGUGUUUUGUUGUGCUAUUAUUGUUCAUGUUUUCUUUAUGGCAAUUAUUUGGUUGUAAUAUUUUCAUUAACAUAUCCUUGUUAAAUACAUAACUACUAAAAACUAUAAGUAUUUUUAAUAUUCUUAAAAGCUUCAUAUUCAUAUAUAUAUCUUAUUUGUAUGUUUUGUGGUGUGUCUUAUAGUCACACUGUAAUUUUAACCUUCAAGUUUUGUCUUGUAGUCACAUCUGGUCAGUCUAUUUGUGACUUGUAGUCACAAUAGUUCACAUAAGGUUAUACCCAAGGAGCGUCCGUAAAGGUGACCGGUAGCUGCGGAAUCCCACAGCCCGAGCCAGAGAACAGAAAUAUCCUUUCACGUAUCCUUCAGCCAUGCCUACCUCUCAACACCGCAAUACAAAGGACCUGUCCGCUGGCUGGCCCUUCCUGUACAAGUACUACAAAGGGGCGAAAAGGCACGUUUCCAGCCCUUCCUUUGAACACUACAUUAAACCUGCCUACCUCUCAACACCCCUCCUAUACAGAGGACCUGUCCACUGACUGGCACUUCCUGUACAAGUACUACAAUGGGACGAUAAGGCACGUUUCCAGCCCUUCUUAUUGAACACUACAUUAAACCACGAAGGACCGGAACGAACAAUUACGGCUAGAAACAGGAAGACUUCACUCUUCAGAACAUUGUGUUUUAUCUAGUGAUCUUCAGUUUUUUAGUUCUCAUUUCAUACUUAUACAUUUUUAAUGUUAUGUCCGAUUAUAGUUAUCAGCUCAGGCUGAUUCUAAUGGUUUAGUUCUCUCUGAAGUAAGUAUGUUUAUGCCUGAUUUAAGUUUUUCAGUUUAGACUGAUAUUGAGGUUAUAGUUCUCUACGAAGGAACUAUUUUUACGCAGGCCUUGAUUAUAUUUUUCAAUAUUCGGCCUGAUUUUGCUUAUUCCGUUCAGGCUUAUAUUGUGUUAUAGUUCUCUACGCAGAAACUAUGUUUAUGCAGGCCUUGCUUAUUCAUUGUUCAAUAUUUGGCCUGAUUUUGCUUAUACCAUUCAGGCUGAUAUUGUUAUUAUAGUUCUCUACGCAGAACUAUGUUUAUGCAGGCCUUGCUUAUUUAUUUUUCAAUAUUUGGCCUGAUUUUGCUUAUACCGUUCAGGCUGAUAUUGUUAUAUUAGUUCUCUACGCAGAACAAUAUUAUAGUUCUCUACGCAGAACUAUGUUUAUGCAGGCCUUGCUUUUAUAUUUUCCAUUAUUCAGCCUGAUUUUAGUUAUACCGUUCAGGCUGAUAUGGAUGUUAUAGUUCUCUACGCAGAACUAUGUUUAUGCAGGCUUUGCUUAUUAUUAUUUUCCAAUAUUCAGCCUGAUUUUAGUUGGACCGUUCAGGCCGAUAUUGAUAUUUUAGUUCUCUACGCAGAACUAUGUUUAUGCAGGCCUUGCUUAUUAUUAUUUUCCAAUAUUCAGCCUGAUUUUAGUUGGACCGUUCAGGCCGAUAUUGAUAUUUUAGUUCUCUACGAAGGAACUAUGUUUAUGCAGGCUUUGCUUAUUAUAUUUUACAAUAUACAGCCUGAUUUUAGUUGGACCGUUCAGGCCGAUAUUGAGAUUUUAGUUCUCUACGAAGGAACUAUAUUUAUUCAGACUGUGCAUAUAUUUUUCUAUAUUCAAACUGAUUUUCAGUAUUCCAUUCAGGCUGACAUUGAUGUUAUGGUUCUCUACGAAGGAACUAUGUUUUAUGCAUUCCUUGCUUAUAUUUUUCAGUAUUCUUCCUGAUUUUAGUUAUUCCGUUCAGGACGAUAUUGAGGAUGUAGUUCUCUACGAAGGAACUGAAUUUAUGCAUGAUUUUAGUUAUUCAGUUCAGUCCAUGCUUGUAUUUUUCAAUAUUCUGCAGGAUUUUAGUUAUUCAGUUUAGGCUGAUAUUGAUACUAUAGUUCUCUACAAAGGAGCUAUUUUUCCUAAGUUGGGUACCAGAUCAGGUCAUGCUCGUACUUCUUACAUGUUCCGUCUGAUUCAGAUAUCUGGACAUGCCAUGCAUAUAUUUAUCUUUUAAUUUCUGCCCAGUCAGGCAUCGUUGGGGUUUACUCUACCCCUCUAACUAAACUUAUUUCUAUUUUUAUGACCAAAGUUUUAAACUUAUUUUCCCCGUUUUUCUGAUUGGUAUGUUCCAAUUUUACCGUAUAUGCCAAUCUUUACGGGUAGUUAUUCUAACAGUUCUAGUGUCAACACAUCUUUCCCAUUGGUACUUGUUAAAAUACCAAUUCAUUUGAUUAUACCCUGAUGAUACUCCUGGGGUUCAUAAACCUGUGUGUUGGCGUACUAUACGAAUAAAAUUGCCUUCUGCCCGAUAAUCUUCAUCUCCCAAAAGAUGCUUCUGGGUCUAAGAUUUUGAAGCUACUGUUGGGCAUACUAGUUUUUCAUAUCUCUGAGUUAAAGGGAAUGUCGCCCCACAGGGAUCUGCCAUAUCCCUAUGUAAAUAAACAUGCUCCACUAAGUCACACCAAAUAAGAGCAAUACGUUUCCUAGGUUUUGUCCUCGAAAACCAUUACAUAUAUAUUUUCCAUCAUAAUCCAUUACCCUUUUUACUUUGCUUACUCUUAAGCGAGUAUCGUUAGCCCAGUUCUUUCACGUUUUAAAUCAGGGGCUUGUUACCCGAGCUGUUCCAUAUGGUUAUUCCCACAGAUAUUCCUCUGGAUUAUUGGUUUUUGUUGUACAUGUCACUUUAACUGUCUGCCAGUUUACAUCUGCAGCCCAAUUGUUUAUUACUUUUUGAUUGGUCGCUCUUUUUCAAGUACAUUUCGAAUCUUACUUUUGUCAAGGUUUUUCAUAUUAUGUAUAUAUGUUUACUGACAGUUUAUUGUUCCAAUGGUCUUUCACUCAUUUACUGGUACCUGUACUUCAGGCCAAUGCUGGUUGUCUUUCGGUUCCAAACCAUAGCUCCAUAGUUGUACUACACUAUAAAGAAGUGAAACUCCAGCUGCUGGAGCACUAUUGAAUUUUCAUUAAAAACAAUUAGUUGGUCCUUUAUUUACAUUAUUGCUUUCCCUGUUUAUGUGUUACAAUUAUUAAUUUGCUUUUGUUGUGUUGCUUGACUGUUUAUGUUUAACCAACAGUUUAACCCCACAGGUAACCUAUUACCAAGGUCUGUUAUUAAGGCAAUGUUUGCCCCUUUUUUUUUUUUUUUUUUUUUUUGAUAGUUUAAGACUGCAGUUCCAUUGUUUUACUUUAUGAUUGCUUACUCCUGUAUGGGUACAUAUUUUUACUUUUGUUGUUCUGCUGUACUAUCUAUGUUUACCUGAUAGGUAAAGGGCGCAGAUUGUAUUUAAAAUUUUACCAAUACCCUUUAUUAAGGCCAAUAUGUGUUCAUUACUUUUCAUAUGUUGUCUGAUGGUUAAAGGCAGCACCUACAUUGUUUUACACUGGGUUCAUGAUACUACUUAACCACUGCAUUUUAAUAUUUUGCUUGGUCAGGUUCUUGUACAUUUAAGGUUAACCUUCUAGUUUAAAGCUGCACAUUCAUUUUCACCUCUUAACAGGUACCUGUACUUAGUCUGAAUUCCAAAAUCUGUUGUAUACAUCUGUUUGGUCAUCUUGUUGGUUUAAGGCCGCAGCUCCAUUGUAUAACAUAUUAUUGUUUACUUUCUUAUCGAUACAGGUAAUUUUUCACCUAUAACAAAGGCCUGUAAUUAGGGCCAUAUCUGUUGUAUAUAUCUCCUAUGCAGGAUGGUUUAGGGCCACAGAUCCAUUUUUUUACUAUAUUAUUGCUUACUUUUUACCGGUAUAUCUUUUUUAUACUUAUUUUCGUUGCUUUGCUUUACAAUUUAUGUUUACCUGACAGUUUAAGGCUGCAGGUACUUUUUCAUCUAUUAAUAAGGCUGCUGUUUAAGGCAAGUAUCUGUUGCCUAUAUCUCCUAUGUUGUCUGGCGGUUUAGUGCUCGGAUCGGGGAUUAUACUAUAUUAUUGAUUGCCUACUCUUUUACCGGUACAUUGUCUUAUUUUAUCGUGUGUAGCUUUGCUGUACAAUUUAUGUUUACCUGACAGUUUUAGGCUGCAAGCAAACGUUUCCCAUUUUAACAAGGCUGUUUAUUAAAGCCAUUAUUUGUUGGAUAUAUCUCCUAUGUUGUAUGACAGUUUAAGGCCGCAGAUACAUGUUUGUUUGUUUUUCUUCAUGAUUGUUACUCCUUUAAGUGUGCAUCUUCUUACUUUACUUUUGUUGUUUUGCUGUAAAAGUUAUGUUUCCCUGACAGUUAAAGGCUGCAGGUAGUCUUUCAUCAUUUUUACUAGCGCUUAUACUUUAUACAAAUAUCGGUUGUUUUAUGUCUGACCGGUUAAGGUCGCAGCUCCCAUUAUUUACAUAUAGGUCUAAGUCACUCUUGUUGACAAUUAGGUUAAGCAGUUCUUAUUAACACUGAUUUUUUCUGGCAGUAUUUUUCUUAUGGAGCAUACACAUAUAAUUAAGUUAUGCUUAUUCUAGUGAUCGUUGAACACCAAUCCUAUUGUUGUCACUUAAUUUACUUCACUAUGUUCUAUAAUUUGUUAUUAAUUAGCAGAUGGAUGAUUUUAGCCUAGGGGCUAUUUACAAAUCAAAGCUUAUAAUGCUUAUUUGUCCUUAAUUUUGACAUUACCUGACCUUAAUCGUAAGGCUACGUUUAUAUUCAUUCAGGGGCAACUACCCCCUUUUCGAAUUGCGGUCCUCUCCCGUACUUCAUGGGCGGCGGGGUUCCCGUUCCGGUCCCCUUUGUGGCGUGUUUAUACCACCCAUUAUGCCUUUUUGGAAAGAAUCUGUUCUAUUUUUAUCUUUUUUAUGGCAUUUUAUAAUAAAUGCCCGUUUUCAAUCAACAAUAUUGUGUUUGUUCUUUCCUUCAAGUCAUACGAGUCCGUCCGGUCUAUGACCUUUUUAUUACCACCGAGGACAAUACAUAAAUAAUAUUUUAUGCACACAUAAAAGAUUUUAUGUCAUUGUACGAUUUCUUAAUUGUUGAACAUUAUAUUGGUUCAAGCCUUAUAUUUAAUUACUUGUGUAUAACCUCAGUGUGGGGUCACAUGGGCUCUUUUGACCAAUCAAAUUCAGUGUGGCCCCCUUGGAUCCUUCUAGACUAACGUGGUAUCCAAUAUGGUCGAAAUUAACAACCCACCUCCACCCCUUCUCCGCCAUAAGUUUGACUCCCUUACUAUGUAUGUUUUUACCUGUGUGUAAAACACAUUUGUUUCUUAUUUUACUGUUAUACGCAUCAAUAUUUUUCUUUUAUACUUAUUUUGGGCGUGUUUUCCCGCCGUCAUCACAUUCAAAUUCAUGUUUUUGUAUGUGUUUAUACGUGUGUGGCGUGUUUAUACCACCCAUUAUGCCUUUUUGGAAAGAAUCUGUUCUAUUUUUAUCUUUUUUAUGGCAUUUUAUAAUAAAUGCCCGUUUUCAAUCAACAA